rnacentral:tRNA from 1 species
GAGGGUAUAGCUCAGUGGUACAGCACAUGCUAUGCAUGCACGAGGUCCUGGGUUCAAUUCCCAGCAUCUCUG